GAUGAACGCUAGCGGGAGGCCUAACACAUGCAAGCCGAGCUAGAGUUUCUUCGGAAACUUGAGAGCGGCGCACGGGUGCGGAACACGUGUGCAACCUGCCUUUAUCUGGGGGAUAGCCUUUCGAAAGGAAGAUUAAUACCCCAUAAUAUAAUGAUUGGCAUCAAUUAUUAUUGAAAACUCCGGUGGAUAGAGAUGGGCACGCGCAAGAUUAGAUAGUUGGUGAGGUAACGGCUCACCAAGUCAAUGAUCUUUAGGGGGCCUGAGAGGGUGAUCCCCCACACUGGUACUGAGACACGGACCAGACUCCUACGGGAGGCAGCAGUGAGGAAUAUUGGACAAUGGGUUAGCGCCUGAUCCAGCCAUCCCGCGUGAAGGACGACGGCCCUAUGGGUUGUAAACUUCUUUUGUAUAGGGAUAAACCUACUCUCGUGAGAGUAGCUGAAGGUACUAUACGAAUAAGCACCGGCUAACUCCGUG
rnacentral:rRNA from 1 species